CCCAGCUCCCCAGAAACGAGGUGGCCAUUUAUCUGAGUUGUGUGUGGAUCUUUUCUCUCCACUUCAGUGACUCUCAGUGGAGAAACAGGUCUCUCCACCACUCUCUUCCUCGCCCUCGGGUCUGGUCUGCGUCUGAGACCCCCAAGCUCCUGGAUGUGGAGCCUGGGGAGCCGUCUGUUGUUCGUGGGCCAGGCCCCAUGGUAGCCAGUCUCCAGUAUGGCCGCAACCAUCUUGGCCUCCAGGACCUCGCGCCCUGGUGCAGGAUCCAGCCCUGUGGGUGCCCAACACCCCUCUCUCGCCUUCCCCUGAUCCCUACCCUGUUGGGUCCUGUCUUUAUUUAAAAUGUGGCUAUUUUGUUCAUGGUGGAUGUUUUCUACUAAUUUUGAUUUUUCAAAAAAUUCCUGCAAUACUGAGUUUUUUGGUGCCCCCUUACAUUUUGCACACAAGGCGAGCACCACACUUGCUCACCCAGUCCUGGCCCUGUCCCCUCUCACAUUGCCACAAGGCUGCCCUAUGUGACAGACAGAAUAACCCAGAAGUCUGUGCCUUAGGAGGCUAGGUCACAAAGGGCAUUUCAGCUGUCACGCUGGCCUCUGGGAUCCCUCGCUCUGGCUGCGCUCAGUGAGGAUUGAGCAGCCCUGUGGAGAGGCAGACCGGGUAAGGAACUAAGGCCACUCGCCAACAGCCAGUGCCAGUGUGCCAGGCAUGUGAGUGAGCCACCUUGACAGCAGGUCCCCCAGCCCCAGGUAAGCCCAGCCAAGAGAGGAAUGUCACCUCAGACCCGGAGCCAGAACCACCAGCCAAGUUGCUCCCAAAUUCCUGAGCCACAGAAACCAUGAGAGACGAUAAAUCGUUACUGCUGCUUUAAGUAGCUACCUUUUGGAGUGAGUUCUCGUACAGCAUGGGUAACUAACACAGUUCCCUUUCUCAGUGUCUACAGCAUCCUUCACUCUCCCCCCACCAGCUCCUAUUGGUCCUUCAGAUUGUCUCACUUCAUGUGCCACUGCUUCCAGGAAGCUUUCCUGAAUGCUCCCAACUGGGUAAGUGCCCUUACAUUCUACUCUCUAUCUGCCAUUCCUAGAAUAGGCCUUUCCCUCCUGCCCCGCCAACCCCCUCCCGUGCCAUCUGAGCCUCUGUACUCAUUGCUCUCCUUGGCUGGAACGUUGCCCCUGUUUGGUCCUCAUUCUUUCAGACGCAGCUCAGGCAUCCCCUCCUCCAGGGAGCCUCCUCCACCCCCGGCAGGCUAGGCAUCUCUUAUGGGCCCCCCUGGCACUCUGUAGUCUUUCCUCAGGUUACAGGAUGGUUCCGUGAUGCUGUCGUCCUCAUGACUGUGAGCUCUGGAAGGCUGGGAGCCGCGUCUUGUCAUCCCACUGGCUUCCACAGGACAGUGAAUGAAGGGCGGGGUGUGCUGGGGAAUUAGGACACUAAGGGGUUGAGAUCUCUGCAGCAGAGCUACCCAAACCUGGUGGAGCAUGGAACCAGCUGCUGAACCUUCGGAAGAGUCAGCCUCCCUGACAGAUGGAGAAUUCCUCAAGAGCAGGACCGUGUCUGUGUUCCCAGCACCUCCCCAUGCCUGGCACUUCGAGGAUGCUCCGUUACUAUUUGUUGAGAGAAUGGAUAAUUGAAUAAAGAAUGCUACCACCUAAGCUGCAGAGCCGUUUGCUGGAAGAAGUGAGGCCAGGAACUGGAAAGCCAGAGAGUUUGGGACACCUGUGCCAGGUGUCUGUCACCGUGCAGCGAGCGUGUCUGAGCACCUGGCAGCUUCCCUCCUUCCCCAGCCGGUCACUCACGGCCCACCUGCAGGACGGGUCCAGGAGCAGGCGGAGCCUCCUGGUGGCCCCACUUUUGCCUCCUCCCCUGCAGUAGAUGCUUCGUUACCAGAAGGCGAAGGUCAGAGUCUGGCCACGGGCCCAGCAUUUCUGGCCCAGUUUUGCCGCAGGAAGCCAACUGUGCAGAAGGUCAGGAUGCUGGUGGGGUCAGAGUGGGAAAGUUAACAUUCCCAAGGGCCUCUAUGCAACAGGACUUCCUGACGUGGACUAUUGCCUUUCUCACAUUACGUGGCCAGAUUGACUUCCUGCCAUUAUUAACUGUGCAAACAUGACAAAGACGUUUAUUUAAUGGGAACGGGCGAAGGACUUUGCUCGACUCUGAGCUUUGAGGAGGCGGUAGGAUCAUGGAAUUAACCACAGCUGAGAGCUGGGAUUCCAGUCCGGGCUCUACCUGCCUUUGCCAUCUGCUAGAACAUGUAACUUCAUGUCUCAACCUCAGUUUCCUUUUCUGUAACAAGUGGGGAAGAAGGGUGGUAAGAAAUGUUGAGUCAGAACUCAGAGUUGCUGGGUGGGUGAAGUGAGGUCAUUAAUGUGGGAAACGUUUUGCGAACUGGAAAGUGCCAUCUGAGUUUUCAUCAUCAGUUUUGAUCUCCUCCUCCAACAAUCUAGCAUCUCAGCCCGCUUUUCCCAGCUGAGAAGGCCUCUGUGGCUCCAGGAGAAGGUGCCCUCUCCCCAGCUGAGGCUGGCUGCUGGCAGGCAGGCCACCAGCCUUCUGCAGUCACCUCCCGCCAGCUCUGGGCCAAAGGGGCCCUGCCCCUCGGGUUCCCUCUGCGAUUUGCUUCUCUGCUGUUUCCGCUCAAGUUCCUCCUCUGCUCUCUGUCCGUGAAAACGCUCUCCCCCCUCACAAUGCCUUCUCUGAUCUGGUUUCUACAUGGCCGAGCGGGACGUUCACUGCAUCUUACAACCCACUGUUCUCCACGUGUGCUCGCGGGCCCAGCGGCAGCAGCAGCAGCCCCCUGGGAAUGUGUGGGAAAUGCACAGUCUUGGGUCCCACCCAGACCAAUGAAGCAGAAAUGAUGAGGGUGGGGCCAGCAGUCUGUGUUUUCACAGGCCCUCAGGGAUUCUGAUGUACACUCAAGGUCCAGGACCAGUAGGCUAACCUGUCUCCCCAACUGGGUGUGAGCUCCCUGCUGGCCGGGGCUGCCUCCCACUGUGGCUCCCAGAGCCUGGCACGCAGAGACCACGAGUGACCAUGAAACUGCCUCACAGACGUGCGCUGGCCUUCCUGCCGCCACACCUGGGCUCACAACAUGCCCUCAGCCCCUUCCUUCCCGCGGCCCUCCCCACAUGCUCACAAAACCUCAAGGCCAGCCGUCUCCCCUGAGUCCUGCAGCGGCCUGUUCUGCCUCAGUCUCCCUCCAUAGCCGCUGCCUGAACCUGCCAGACACCACUCUGGGCUCACCGCCUGGUCACCCCUUGGUGGGGUUGCCCUUAAACAAAAGGUCCUUUCUGCACGCAUCUUUCAUGUGACAUUUUGCACCGACUUGGUUUGUGUUUGAAGGAGCGCUGGUGCAGUAGGGGAUCAUCCUUGCAGCCACAGGGUGGAAGUCACCUGGCAGCUUCACCAGGGAAGUCAAGGUGUGUGUGUCAGUCGGCCUUUGCACCAACAUUCAUAGCAGAAGCAGUUCACACCACGUCCCCCCCUGACCUGAAGGAGAGAGAAAGGGAAGAGGCACUUGAGGUGCUCAGCGAGCUGCAAAGUUCCGUCCUCCAGCUGCUCCAAGCCCUGCGUGGGCCAUGGGGUCUGCACGGUGGGCGGGCAGGCCAUGCAGGUCUCUGCCUGACCCACACCGUGUCAGGGUUUGUUUUUACUUUCCCUGCUCUUGCUGCCACAGCCUAUGUGUCCCCAGAUUCUUCUUUUAGGCCCUGGAUGGGAGCCAGCCUCCUGCAGCUAGGCUGCCCGGGUUCGAACGCUGGCUCUGCUGCCUAGGGUAAGUUACUUGACCAUUCUGUGCCUCAGUUUCCUCAUCUGUAAAGCAGGCCUGGGUGGUAACACUUAGGUCUUAAGUUUCUUGUGCAGACAAAAUCAGAGAGGACUUGCAAAGCCUACAGAGUAGAGCUCCCACACAGGAGCCCUCCAAGCUCUUGGUCCUGAAGUGGAUACCCCUGGCCCAUGAGCCCAGUAAGGGAAGGCAAGAGCUGGUGAGUGGCAGGCUGGGUCAACCCGGGGCCUGGCUCCCUCCCCAGCCACCACCUGCCUCCAAAUCCAGCAUCAUAUAUGACUCUAAAUUAGUUUUGGGACCAGAAUUUGUAAUCUUUCUGGUUUCAAGCAUGAGGACCCUUAUUUAGUGCUAAGUAAAAUAUCUGCUUUUUGCUCUCUCAGCAUCCAUUGUCCAAGAGAAAAUAACCUAGUAGCCUUUUAGAAUUUGUAUUCCACUGACUACAACAACAUCUGUAUACAUCUGAAAACUAUUCAGACAAGUAUGUGUAAGACAAAUCUCUUCAGCCUGCAGACAGUGUGCUCGGGGCCUUGAUGGAUUCUCUGGCAGACCCCCCCAGCAGGGUGCCUCCAGGCUGGGGACCAGUGUGGUCUUCAGGAAACAAAGGCUUAAUGUAAACUGGGCUCUCCUCAGGCAGGAGUUCCCUCAACAUUCCUUGCCAGGUGUGUAGUAUGAUAAGCCCAUUUCACAGAUAAGAGCACAGAGGCACCAAGAGCUGUAUUAACUACCCAAGACGAAGCUAGUGAUUAGUAGAGCAUGAGUGAGGUCUGGGUGACCCCAAAGCCCAAGUUUUACCCCCUACCCUACCCUUCAACAUGGCAGCUACUCUCUAUUAAUCUUAUCUCCACAGCUGAGUCUGGGAACUCCUGAACAGCACAGAAGUAUCAACUAUCAGCCAGGAGCCAAUAUUCCCAGAGCAGACAGCAUAUCAGGUGCUGGUGCCUCUGUGACCUCGUUUAAUCCAGCAGGAAUCCAAUCAAUUUCCCUAUACUACAGAGGAGCAAAUCAAUUCUCAGAGAGGCUGAGUAACCUGCCCAACGUCACCCAGUUAAGAAGUGGCAGGGCUGGGGCCAGAAUCCAGGUCUGUCUGUCCCUGGGUCCCUGUUGGCCCCUUCGCAGCGUGUGAGCUUCCCAGGGCCUCAGGUAGGGAGGGGGUAGAUAGCUACCUUGAGCCAUAAAAUUCCCCUCACAACACGAUAGGUGUUAGCAAAUUUUUAAAAAUUCUUUGCCCCAGAUCAGGUCCUACAUUGGGAUGAAUCAUCUGACUCCAUAUAAAGUAACCUCAGGAUCGCUGGAUUGAUGGGGAGUGUGGGCAGAAGAGGGUUUUUUGUUGUUUUGAUCUCAACUGAAAAGCAAUUUUUAAUGUGCCAAAUGUUGCACACUCAAUCCAAUACACAGAUUUAUUACGCAGGAGGCCAAAGUGUGCUAAUCAGGAGUCAUCAUCUUGCAACAAGAAUAAAUAAGAACAAAGCCAGCAAGCGUUCCUCCCGGGAGCUAAGAAUGUCAUUGUCUAAUGUCUUGUCUUAGCCGCCUCAGCCCACAAACGGCUCCUCCUGUCUUUAGGGGACAACAAUCGCUGCGGAAUUCUGCUGAGCACAGACGGGCCGAGACACAGAGAGUGGGGUUUGUUGCUUGAAAGCAUUUUGCUUUCUGUAACCACUGUUCCCAAGAAAGAGCUGGGACUGUCUUGCCUGCCCUGUCUCUCAUUCCAGACACCUCUGGAGCAACUCAGAUCCUGAAGCCUUGGCUUGAGGGCAAGUAGAGGCAGAACGUAGGGAAGAGAGCUCCGUGCCAGGCAGAAAUCCCCCACCCUUCCUGUUUCCCGACUCUGAGCAAGCCACUCAACCACGCUCAGCCUCGGCUUCCUCUGCUGGAAAAUGGGGAGAGGAAGGGUUCAUUCAGGCGGCUGGGGGUCCAAGAUUCCUAGCCUGGUGCCUGGUGCCUGGCACAGGGUAGUGCCUGUUAUUAAGAAACUGCUGGGCUAAACCAUGGCCAGGGAGAAAGCUUGGUGGAGGUAACCGGGCACCCUCAGAUGGUAGCUCAGAAAUUGUGUUCCUCACUGAGCAGCUUUGAUCAAACCACUUCCCUUCUCAAAAGUGUUCGGUGGCUUCCUGCUCCCCUGAAUGCAAUAUGGGUCCUUUAACCUGACCACCAAGACCCUCAUUCCCCAAAAUGCCUUUUCAGCCAACUUUUCUACACUCCAAAAUGCCACUUAAUAAAUAUUUAAAGAAAGAGUGAAUACAAUGCAUCUAGCAUUGUGUGUCUAAAAAUCUCGGCCCUGGUCCCAAGAGGCGCAUAAGCUAAUUGGGAGCAAGGCCCAAGAUACCAGAAGAAAAGGGAAAUAGCCAUUUAUUUUACAUUUUAAUCAAGGGACCAACUCAGAUCCCAAAUCCUAGUCCUCAUUCUGCCCCAGAUGUCCUGAGGGCCUGCUCUGAUGUGACAUUCGGAGGAUGCCACUUAGGUUAGGGAACAAGGGGGCGCUACAAGUCAUGAACCAUAACACCCAGGCCAGGAGGGCGCUGACAGUCUAAGGGGGAAGCUGCCACCCCAGGAUACCGUAGGUGCUUCUGUUGUCUCACUCUGCACCCCACACUGUGCCACCAAGCAGGGAGAAGGUCAAUAUGAUGCGUUUUGUAGUUUUCUAUGGAGACAACAGCUGACUGCCAACCAGAAUGAUGACAUAAGGAAUCAGCCUUCACUGGUGAAAGGAAAGGUGUUCAAGACUUGCAGACAAUGCAGCAAAUUGGCUGCAUUACUUAGAAACACUCCCCAGGCUGCAUGAACACAGUGUAAGGGCCCAGUGAGGCCUGGAGGCCAGGCCUGCGGUGUUGCUGCCGAGGCUUGAUCCACCCCCCGACCCCCUAGUCUUCCAUGCAGUUGUCCACCUGUGGGGAGGACUUCAGUUGCCUGAUUACAAGGACUUUGAGGACGACGGGAUCCUGCCCAGGAGUACUGUGACCACUGCAGGAGCUCCUCAAAGGGCAGGGAGCCGAGACGCCCUGGUGAUACGCAAGAGUUUGUGCAGACACGGGGGCACCUGGAGAAUGGCAGCUUGGAUUUACAUGUCUCUCUGGGGCAGAAUUUGCAUGGAGACUUGCUUGCAUCAUAACCUGGUCGUGGGGUUGUGGGGAAGGAGUUAACCAGCCCUGACCCCAAACUUCUGCAGGGACUACUCUCAUCCACCCAAACCCGGGAGCCGUGCGUGGCCGCAUGGUCUUCGGUCAGUCCACUCCCUCAGGGCCCUCUGGUCACACUCCUCUGCAGGGCCUUUACUGUGGGCCGCUCUGUCCAGACCCCGCGCUUUCUCCAUGGAAGUGGCAGAUGUGGAUACCUCCAUGGUAUUUGGACACAAGAAAGGCCGCAUUCAUUUAUCCAACUGCAAUUAAAUCUGUUUCAAGACACCCUACUCACAAAACUGGGCAGAAAUUGCAAUAUCAUUCCAAGUCAUCUGUUGGUCCCUCCCUGAGCCCUACUGGCAUAUUAGGGGGCUUUGGAGGUGCUCCCAGGAAGCCACAGUCAGUGGUGCUUUUUUCUGCAUGGUGGGCAGUGGUGCCCACCCCGGGCAGCUGUGGCAGGCAUGCCGGGGAGGUCAACCAGCCCAGCUUGCUGCCCAGCUCAGCACUGCCCCUCCUCCUAUGGAGGGCGUCUCCUGCUGGUGGCCACACUUCUUCCGAGCAGUCAGCCAGAGGGACCUCAGGCUGGGGGGCCUCCAUGCUUGUGCCCAGAAGUCCCAGGCCCCAGGCAGCCAUCUCCACAAGUAGGGCCACCUGAGUGUUUCUGCAUUUGCCAGACCUAUGGAGUCCUAGGGCUCACUCUGUUUUUGUCCUCAUCAGCCACCUGCAACAGGGCCACAACCCUCUUUCUCACUUGACAUACCAAAGCGUCCACUCCUUCUCUCUUUGGGACUCUAUAGUUGAAUUCUCCUUGUUGGAUCCCAAACUCCAGAAGCCCUUCAACCUGUAGGGUGACAGAGGCCAGAGGCUGGGGCUCAGGCGCUUGGCUGCCCCAGAGAGCAACUCAUUAACAGUAAAAAGGUUAACACGGCAGUACGCUUCUCAGAAAAUCACCCAUGACAUAGCAAUCCUUAUCUAAGCUCACAGCAAAGCCCUGAGAUGAUGUUACCUUCAUCACUCCCAUCUAACAGAUGGGAAAACGGACUUAGAAGGAUUAAUUAACUGUCACGUGGCUAGUGAGUGGGCGAGCAUCGAUUUUGGUUCCAGGUUCAAAGCACAUGCUCUUGACCCCCUAAUCUGUGGUACUUCUUAAAGUAAGGCCUGACUACUUCUGGGCCUUAGUUUCCCUACCUGCAAGGCAGCACCUACUUCCCGGCAGGCUGAACUCAGUGAAGCCCUAGGCCUGAGGGUCAGCAUCUCCCGGGGGCUGGUCUGUAGGCAAAGUCCGCCCCACAGGCGUUUGACACAUUUAUGCUUAGCCUCAGGCCCUAUGGUGUAUGAGGAAGUAACCUUGAUCUGGGGGCACCUAUCUUGGGGCUCCACAGUCGUAAAUGAGCCGACAGCUUCCCAGCUCCCAGUCUCAAAAGUGCCAACCGGAAUAACUCCACCUCUGAGAUAUCAAAGCCGGCAGAUGACCCCAGGAAACGGCUGUGGACAGCAGGACAGCAAAAGAGCUCCUCCCUGGCUGGCGGGUGCAUUCCCCAGGUCCCUCUUGCCUGUGAGUGCACCGUUUAACAGCCAUAAGUCAUUUUUAGUAGCUUCUGCCUCCCCAGCAGCGAGGGAUCUUCCGAGAGAAGAUGCCCCACCUGGUCUGUGUUCUGAGAGGAAAAGGCGAGCAGGGAAGCCUCCUGCUGCCCCCGACACGGCUGACUUUGUUUCACUUAACUCCGGCCCAUUUUUUCUGCUGUCCCACCUGAAGAGCAUUUAAUCUCAGAGUUAGAACCACCAAAAGCAAUUUUCUUUCCUCCUUUGACUGCUAGGCUGGGCAACACAUCACAUCACCCUACAAGUACAUUUGGCCCCAGGGCCACAGGUAUAAAAGGCAUUCAGUGGGCGGCAUGAGUCAAUUUCCGUCCAGCCUUAGGACAGUGAGGUAACCGCCGCUUGUCAGUUUCCCCAUCCCCAUCCCCGUGGCAGCUUGGCUCUCCCACAGCAGACAUCUGGAGCCAGGGAUUGACAAGUGGAUUCCAGAGCCAGGCCCUGCCUCCUGCCUGCUCCAACGCAGCGCGGGACCUCAGCCGCCAACAAGGACACGCAGUGUCUCUCUGCACGUACACACGUACGUACACACCCUCCUCAUCUCCCUGCCCCAGCUCAUGCCUGCAUUUCCCGUGCUGUGAAUUCUGACAGCUAGGGAGGGUGUUGCCCUCACUGUACGUUCCUCACUACACCACGCUGCCUGAAGCACCUGGCUGUUCCAGAGCCUUCCUGCAGAGCUCCCCACCCCCACCUCCCAUGCUGAAGGGGCAAGAAACCUCGUGGUUGUCAUGGCUGUGUCUCUGUCCAAGGGAGGGCUGGCGAAAUGGCACCCUCUCCACACCCUCUUGCCUAAUUUACUGGACUUUUAAACACAUUUAUUUACUGUGGUAUGUACACCACACCAAACAUCUGGAGGGAAACUGGGGGAAAAUCCACCAAGAAUUUAAAUGUUUAUCCCGCACUGUAACUUUGAAAACCAAAUCAGGGAAACAUCACAUCUUCAGCCAAUUGCUUGGUGGUGUACAGACCUAAGACAGCAUAUAAUCCCAUAAAGGCUGUCUCUCUCUGCCCUCUCUCUAACCAUGCAGCUCGUUCACCAAGCCACUCACAAGCAUCUCUUUCUUCUUUCUCAGGGAUGUCCAGAGCCAAUUCGAGCCAAUAUCUCGGUUGCUCGAUCAGCCCCACUAUAGCUGCCACCUAACUUGAGAAUCAAGGCAUCGCAGAGCCAGCAGGACCUUGGGGAUCAGCAGGUCUUCUCUGGGCCUGAAGUUUACCCUCUACAUUUAUCUUCUGCUUUAUAACCCAUUAAGUCACUUCCUUGGCCCUCUCCAGAUCUCCUCACAUGUGAUCACAAUCAUAUGCAUGCCGCACGUCUGUGACUCCCCUAAAGCUUUCAAGAUGAUGUCAUCUAUAAACAGAAAGACCCGCCUGUACCAUCAUUAGUCAGCUGUCACUCUGCUGACCAGGUGCAGCUCCCUCUGUCUACUGGAGGGAGAGCCAAUCAAAAUUAAUAGAAAACUGGAAGAUCGGACCAUUCUAAAGAGGAAAACUUAACAAUAUUUGAAGGAACCAGCUACUUGUAUUAAACACUUAAAAGGCAUAAUUCCCAAGGAGUGAGGUCUCCUUUCUUCCUUUCACAAGUUUUUUAUUUAAGUUCUUUUUUGAGGAAGAUUAGCCCUGCGCUAACUGCUGCCAAUCCUCCUUUUUUUGCUGAGGAAGGCUGGCCCUGAGCUAACAUCCGUGCCCAUCUUCCUCUGCUUUAUAUGUGGGAUGCCUACCACAGCAUGGCUUGCCAAGCGGUGCCAUGUCCGCACCUGAGAUCCAAACCAGCGAACCCCAGGCCACCGAAGCGGAACGUGCGCACUUAACUACUGCGCCACCGGGCUGGCCCCUUAUUUAAGUUCUUCAGGCACUCCAGGGAGGGUCUGAAACAUAGUAUAACACCUACCCUCUUCUUAAGGAGCUUAGGGUCAAGUGGGGUCGCCCCCAUUUAACAAAUAAUCACACCCAUGUGUGAAAAGCCCAGAGGAGGUGAAGCUGCAAGGAGGCCAGGAGGAGCCAGUUCAGACUCGAGACAACAGGACUAG
rnacentral:lncRNA from 1 species